rnacentral:rRNA from 1 species
UAGGGAAUCUUCCACAAUGGACGAAAGUCUGAUGGAGCAACGCCGCGUGAGUGAAGAAGGGUUUCGGCUCGUAAAACUCUGUUGUUAAAGAAGAACGUAUCUGAGAGUAACUGUUCAGGUAUUGACGGUAUUUAACCAGAUAGCCACGGCUAACUACGUGCCCG